GUUUCCUCAGGGACACACAAAACCACCGUUCCCAUAGCAACACUGUCUUGUGAUGUCAGAAAUCAGGGCUAGGCCUUGAAUGAUAAAACAAAAGCAUGUUGGCUAGCUGGCAAGGAAAGCGUGGUGAAAAGGAUGGUGCUAGGCUCCAAUGAGAGGAAGCACUGCGUCUGUACCUACACACCAUGUAAUUGUUUUAUACUUGAGAUUUCAGAGAAAACGAGAUAUUGAUUUAAGGGGAAGCCUCAAUGUAGAAGCAGUUGGAGUAGCUGUUGAGUUUGCAGAUACUCAAGUGCAACCACUAACAAAUGGUGUUGAAGAAUCCAGCAUCAACAUAUCUGCCAAGAUCUCUGAAGUGACUAAACUUAGUUGCCAUGGAAUGUUGGUAUCCUGUCCGUGGGAAGAAGAUCAAUAAUCGUAUUUAAAUAUGGGCCCGGGACGGGGUGACUGGGUGACAGGCACUGAGGGGGGCAUUUGACAGGAUGAGCACUGGGUGUUAUACUAUAUGUUGGCAAAUCUAACUCCAAUAAAAAUAUAGCAAAAAAAUUAAUUAAAAAAAAU
rnacentral:lncRNA from 1 species